UUCAAGCCUGAAAAGUCCUUACCAAACAAAGGACAGUCUCACAAAGUCAUUUCGACAAUGUCCCCAUCGCGAAUCGAACCCGGACCUCCAGAUCGUGAGACUAACGCUCUAACCACUAGACCACGGAGACUGUUGAGUUUGAGUUAAUAUCUUAGAAUACGGGUGUUAGUUAGGUCUGUUUUUAAUCUUCGAGAAACCGACUUUAAAACACGCAAAGAAUCGAAAUGAAAAUGUAAAUAAGCGACUAUAACACCGACUUUUAGUACUUUAGCUACUUAAAUUCAUGUUUAUAGUCUAUAUCAAUGCUUACAUAUUCCUUUUCAGCUAUCCGAUGUACUUGUUAUAUUAUUAUAUUUGUAAUAGACUGUUUUCUCAGAGAUAAAUAACUAUAUAAACUUAAUAAAAUGUUCAUUCGUGCAAUACUAUGAAACUGAAACUUAAUUUCGAAAGACAUUAUCGAUUAGUGAAUGAACGAUUGAUCGAAAAAUCAAGGUCGGUUAGUGAACCUUCAAGUUAUUUCGAAAAAUAUCGUUCGAAAUUAAGUUCCUUAUUCCAAUACUGUACGUAUAUGUACAUUCAUGAGCAAUAUAAUGUACCCACUUUAGGACUCUGUCGCACUAGCAUAUUUGACAUUUAGUGAGACUUACAGUUCAAUUUGUCAAAUCAGUUAAUGUGACAUGGUACCAAAGUGUAUACAUAUGCUCGUGACCGUACUUCAAUAGAUAUUUCGCAUUUCUAGUCGUACUGUUGAAUUUCCCAUUGACGUAUAAAAGAUAAUAAAUAAAAGUUGGCCAUUUUAGAGUAUUUCUGUGUAAGUUAACAAGCAAUAUGUGAAGGGAACACGGGCAGUGUUUGAAGGGAAAUCAUGCAAGGGAUAUGUACGUGUGAUUCGUCUUACACUUUAGUUUGAUUUGCAAUUGUGACGUUGAAGGGCCUUGGGUGUCGCAAAAGAGUGAGACAGCAAGCUACGAGAGACAGAGACAGAUAUAGGCUUGCAACUUACGCCUUUACGUUAGGCCGUUGAACUUCAUCUGGCAGGACCGCAUCGUACUUUCCUAUGCUUCUAUGCACUAUCUCGCUCUGGCAAAUGACGAUUCUGAGUGUCAGAAAAGGAUAGAAGUAUAGAUAAGUGCAAUGCGGUGCGGGUACAUGUAUUUCAACCAAUACACGUUUCUUUCAUAAGGUUUCUUGCUCGAAAAGGACGCAAAGGCGAUGCAUUUAAUUAUGAUUAUACCAAAACGAUGUUAUAUUUAUUUUGUAGAUAUGUAAAAAACAUGACGUACAAGAAAGAUCUUGAUGUAAAGUGUCACAGCCUCGCAGUUACCGUGUAGGUUCUAGAAAAUUCUAGAAAGUAACAGAACUCGUCGUCUCUUCAAUAAAUUCACGUAUCUAAAUCAUACAGUUUUUCAUUCUCACUGGCCAUUGGAAACGCCGUUUCGAUGACUCGAAAUAUUAUUGCAUAUUUUAUUUUGAGUUUAAACUCAAAUGAGUGAUAAGCUACAAAUCGUAACUAAUUAUUCUCAUUCAGUAUAAUAUGUAUUCUGAGAUUUUGUAUAUUAUUUUUUUAUUUUUCUUUUUUAUAUAAUAAUGUUUGUAUCUGGUAUAGAUGUUGGAUUGACACCUCGCCCUGUGCGACCGUACAGUUAAUUAAUAGAAUAGUUUCCACGAAUUUAGAUUAAAUUAAGUAUUUCACGGGCCGGUUGUUUCUAGACUCGAAUCUUUACGUUUCAGCCUGUAUACAAUAUCGCCUUUGCCAUUUAGUUUUGAUUCAAUGUUAAGUGAUACGGAAAGUAUAUUUCACAUAAAGUCACCUCUAUAGACAAGGAUAUUUUGGCACGUGGCCGUAAUCCGAACUAACGAAGCAUCUAAGAGCGCUAUUACAUCUCUCAAACACACACCGACAAAAUUGGUGCCGACGAAAAAACAACCAGAUAAAUCGACUUUAUUAUUACUGCACUAUGAUCUUAAUUUGAAUGAAUUACAUUCUGUUUGCCAAAAAACCAUAGUGUGCGGUCUAUCUUUUGACAAACAACGAUCGCAUAGUAAUAAUAAGGUUGAUUUUUCGUUAAAUCGUAAGUCAUGAUCUACGAAUGAUUGAUUGUAAUAUCGCUCUAAUGAAAAAUUUAUAUAAAUGGAGAAUGUAUGGAGAUGGUGCUCACUAGCGCCCCCUCCUGUCAAUAUCAUCCAAGUGCCACAAGAUUAUAGAAUAAAUAACAAUACUAUGUAUAGAACAAUAACUUUUCGCCCUGCACCAAUUGGGUGCCGACCUCACCUCACCCCCUCUGGGUCUUACUUUAGUCUUAAAUGACCGGUAAAGAGUAAAGUGGAGAGCGCACGGACUAUCUAUCUCGCUCGCACUUCUGCGUUAGACAGCAGCACACAGUAAGAAUGAGAUUUGUGUAUGGAGUGUGUGACAAGAACCUUGUCGGCCUAUAAUCGCGCGUUAUGUGUAGAAAAUAAUGCACCAUCUGCAUUGUGCUAAAGGGGUGGACAGAAUCACAAGUAAUUCAGAAGACAACCUCUGUUGAUUCGAGCUCCUAAGAUGGAUAUUAUAGUACAGUUAAUGGCCCCGAUUCCUACAGACUCCCCUAAUUUAAUUUUAAGUUAUAUCUUUUUUAACCGCCGUAAAGAAAAGAGACGGGCAAUCGAUAGACGUAAAAUUUAUGGAACACACGUCAAUUUUAGGCAGAAAUUAAAAACCCCACCCAAAAUUUUAUAUUGGCCAAUAACCCCUCAGAAUUAAGUUGACAGCACAUGUCAAACAGGUUGAAUAGCGGGAUGCCUAUUUUAUUCGCCCGGGUUAUUCAUUUUACAUUUAACAGUUGUCAAUCAUGCGUCCCUUUCCUUUUCGGUAGAUAAGAAUAUGACGGGUAUAACUUAAAAUAAAAUUAGGAGGUGUUUACAGGAGUCGGGGCCAUUAUCAUUGUAAUCCGCCAUAACUAUUAUUUUAGACUGAACAUGAAAAUCUCAAUCUAGAAACAUUUCCGUGACGUAACCAUAGAUAGGCGAUUUUAGACAAAUUUAAUUAUUGUGCUGUAUUUAUGCAAUUAUGUUUUGCAACAAAUAUACUUAUAUAAGUAUUUGUUAUGUCCAUCGGUUUUUGUGAAUUUUGGUGCUGUUUAUGUCUUGUAUUAUUUUAUUUACUUCGCAUACUAUUUUACAUCUCAUAGGACUAAAAACGUAGAAUAAAGAAUUAUAAUACGUAUAGAUCGGUAAGUCUUCGCCCCGCACCAUGUCUUACCGGACGCCUUACCUCACCCCCUCUGGGACUCUAAGGAGUAAGAUGGAGAGCGCGGACUGCUUGUUUCGCUCGCGCACGCGAUUACUCUAGCCAUAGAGGCGGCCAAACAGCUCACGACACUAAACACUUCAGAACCCCGAUACCGACCCCGUCGGCGUAGUCGACGAUUUCCCUUAACGCGCUUAACGCUAUCGACCCACUAGGGUCGAUUCAUUCUUUCAAAUAUUCUUCCUCUCAGACAACGUCCUGAGCCGAGGUUCGCGCCCAACUGGGCACCCUUAGGCCUGUCUUUAAUUUUGUACCGGGUGAGAGCCCUCAGCGGUCCCCAUUUGUGCGGCCAAGUAGUUAAUUCCAUCUACGGCAAAUGUACAAAAAGAAUGAUUCGCUGGCACUUACAUCUUAAGUGGCAAACGGUAACUAUGAGAUUUUUGUAUAGAGUGACCGGGGCUAGAGGGUGUAGGUACGCUAAAACUCGCCAAGGAGCAAGUUACACUGGGCGAUUGAACAGUUUGUAGAAUUUACCAGUAUAAGUUGGUCUAUCCCGCGACGGAUAGGCGCGAGUUUUAAGGUACAAUCAUAAACUAUCAUUUCGAUACUAUAAUGCAACUUUACUUUUAGUGCAUUUAGUAACUUUUAUUCUUUUCAACAGUUUUACUCAAAACUAUAUUUCUCUUCUAGUUAUACUUACUUCAGGCUGUCAUUGGUACGUAAAUGAUAUUUAUAUUAUUCCUAAUUCAUUAUUCAGUAGCUUUUUAUCGUGGAAUAAUAAUUGCUGAAUAUAUUUGUUUAUGGUCCUAUGACAUGUAUUAUAAUAAUGUGAAGUGGACACGCGGCUGCGCGUGAGUUGUAAAUUUUGCAUUUUUCCUGACAUAUCUGUGUUUGUAAAUACGGUUCAAGAUCUUAUCGGUGUUACGAAUACGACGUGUACUAAUGUAAAUCAUCGGCAACUCAAUUAAAUGAAAUGCUCUUUUAA